rnacentral:rRNA from 1 species
AUUGAACGCUGGCGGCAGGCCUAACACAUGCAAGUCGAGCGAGCGGAGGAAGGGGGAGGAAUGUAAGGGGACUGCCCGAUAGAGGGGGAUAACUACUGGAAACGGUAGCUAAUACCGCAUACUAUCGGAUAACCCAUAGGGGAUUAGUUAGUAGGUGAGGUAAUGGCUCACCUAGGCGACGAUCCAUAGCUGGUCUGAGAGGAUGAUCAGCCCCCCUGGGACUGAUACACGGCCCCGACUCCUACGGAGGCAGCAGUGUGGAAUAUUGCCCAAUGGGCGCAAGCCGGAUGCAGCCAUGCCGCGUCUAUGAAGAAGGCCCUAGGGUUGUAAAGUACUUUCAGUCGGGAGGCGUUACCGACAGACGAAGCACCGGCUAACUCCGUGCCAGCCGCCGCGGUAAUAC